GGACAUGUUACUGCCCUUGAAGGAGGACUGGUAACACUCAGCUGUAACUACACUACCAGUAGUCCAUCUCCUGAUCUCUUCUGAAUGCAUGGAGCCCUGGCUGAGGAACUUACUUAUUCUUGCUGCAUUUUGUUAUGGUAUUAUAAUAUUAUUUUCCUAAUUCAUUUGCUGCCUUUGAUCCCAUUCCUUUAUUUUAUGAAACAUAUUUCUCAGUAUCAGUAUUAAUGUCAUGUUUGUAAUCAUAUUACUCGAUUAUUUUCAGUCAUUUUUCAUGCCAAUAAAGCUCUCUUCCAAUUCAGGUCCAAAUGUAGAAGUAAGAGACAAUACAAUUCCACUAAAAUAUCUCAUGGAUUAGAAAAUAGACGAUUGUUUAAUUUUUAGAAUUGGCCUAAUUGUGUUACUUGGACACAUUUAGAAAAAGCAAAAAUCAGUAUUGUGUACAGAAUAAUGGAAAAUCCACUCUAUGGAAAGAUCAUCGAGCAUCAGCCACAAGGAGGCCACAUUACCAAGAAAGUGUUGCUUUCUACUUUAAAAUGACUUGUUUACAGUAUUUGAACAUCCCCUCUGUGCUGUGCUGCAUGGUCUAGGCCUGUGUUGCCACUAAGGAAUCAAGCGAGCAAACCAGUUUCUAUAUUGUAACAUAAGUUUGUCUUGCUCUUUGUAUCCAAUGAUAAUUAUGGGACAUUGGCUGUGGACCUCUGUUCUUCUUGCUGCACUUAUCUUUGGUAGGAUACAGAUCGCAUGAUAUUUUUCUCAAUACCCUGAUGUUACUUGGAUCCUGACAUUUAGUAACCAUGGGACUUUAGGAUUCUAUCAAUUAGAUGUGAUGUGACGAAAAUAUGUUCCACAAAAAUGUCAGAUAGAAAAGUCCCAAGGCAUUUUGUUAUGUUAUUAUAAUGUUAUUUUUGUAUUAUUUGUUUAGUCUUGGCUCCCAAUCCUUUCUUUUAUCAAACAUAUUUCUCAGUUCAACACUACAAGUAUUAAUUUCAUGUGUUUUUAUUCACACAAAUAUGCUGCUUGAUUAUUUUCUCCCUAAUACUAAUGUGUAUUACAUCAUUUUCCAGAAUGCAGAGGAGAAGACUCAGUCAUUCAGCCACCAGGAGAUGUGACCAUUAACCUUAACAGGUCACACUGGGCUGUCAAUGUGAUACUAUGGAUACAAAUCCAUAACUGUUGUGGUACAAACACGGAGCAAACGAGUACCCCAAGUAUAUGCUGUGUACUACUGUGCUCGGUGGACCACUGUGAUAACAAGAUAUACAACCCCUUACAAAAACAUACUGACCUACACAAUGACAAUACACCUGUCUGUACAGUAUACAACACCACUUUGAAAUUGACACACAGUAACUUUCUCACUACCUCCCUGAUAGUACCAAGACUAGUGGUAGCAGAUGAUGAUAAUCACAGUGAUGAGGAUGAGGAUGAUAAUGACAAUGAUGAUGAUGGUGAUGGUUAUGCAAUAAGUCAUUUUUGAUGCCAAUAAAGCUAUCUCUUCCAAUGUAGCUCUAAAGGUAGAUGUAAGAGACAUUAAAAUGCCAUUACAAUAUCUAAUUUAUUAGAACACAUACAGCUAGUAGAGUCUAACUAAAUUAAUUGCAGAGAAAAAAGUUAUACUCAGUAUUGUGUACAGAGUAAUGGAAAAGCCAACAUCCACCACAAGGAGGCCACAUUACCAAGUAAGUGUUGCUUUCUACUCUAAAAUGACUUGUUUACAGUAUUUGAACAUCCCCUUUGUGCUGUCCUGCAUGGUCUAGGCCUGUGCUGCCACUAAGACAGGAAUCAAGAGAGCAAACCAGUUUCUAUAUUGUAACAUCAGUGUGUCUUGCUCUUUGUAUCCUAUGAUAAUUAUGGGACAUUGGCUGUGGACCUCUGUUGUUCUUGCUGCACUUAUCUUUGAGUGCAGAGGAGCAGACAGUGUUACUCAGUCAACGAGAGAAGUGACUGCUUAUGAAGGAGAAGACGUGUCUCUCAACUGUGAAUAUAAC